ACACAUGCAAGUCGAGGGGCAGCGCGGGAUAGCAAUAUCCUGGCGGCGACCGGCGGAAGGGUGCGUAACGCGUGAGCGACAUGCCCGUUGCCCGGGGACAACCGGUGGAAACGCCGACUAAUCCCCGAUGGGAUACGAUGCUUCAUGGCAUUGUAUUGAAAGUUACGGCGGCGACGGAUUGGCUCGCGUCCGAUUAGCUUGUUGGCGGGGUAACGGCCCACCAAGGCUACGAUCGGUAGGGGUUCUGAGAGGAAGGCCCCCCACAAUGGGACUGAGACACGGCCCAUACUCCUACGGGAGGCAGCAGUGAGGAAUAUUGGUCAAUGGGCGGAAGCCUGAACCAGCCAUGCCGCGUGCGGGAAGGAGGCCCUAUGGGCUGUGAACCGCUUUUGCCUGGGGGCAAUAAGGGCGUCGCGCACGUCCGAUGAGAGUACCAGGCGAAUAAGCAUCGGCUAACUCCGUGCCAGCAGCCGCGGUAAUACGGGGGAUGCGAGCGUUAUCCGGAUUCAUUGGGUUUAAAGGGUGCGUAGGCUGUGCGUCAAGUCGGGGGUGAAAUUCCGGUGCUCAACACCGGGGCUGCCCUUGAUACUGUCGCGCUGGAGUGCGGAUGCCGCCGGAGGAAUGAGUGGUGUAGCGGUGAAAUGCUUAGAUAUCACUCAGAACACCGAUUGCGAAGGCAUCUGGCGAAUCCGUAACUGACGCUGAGGCACGAAAGCGUGGGGAUAGAACAGGAUUAGAUACCCUGGUAUUCCACGCCGUAAACGAUGAUGGCUAACCGCCGGCGACACACUGUCGGUGGCCAAGCGAAAGCGAUAAGCCAUCCACCUGGGGAGUACGUCGGCAACGAUGAAACUCAAAGGAAUUGACGGGGG
rnacentral:rRNA from 1 species